ACCUAUAUAGUGAUAUAUAACUGAACUAUCAGAAGUCAGCAGAUGUCAUAGUACUUCGCUAAACGCGUUAGCGGAGGAAGGAC
rnacentral:ncRNA from 1 species